rnacentral:lncRNA from 1 species
UUCCCAUUUGCCUUAAACUAGCCAUGUCUCUGUGUAGCUGCAAUUUCAAGCAUUUCUCAGUGACAUGUGAAUGAUUAUGCUGUGUAUGAAGGAGAAUCUGAAAUGUUGAAAUUACUUUGAAGGAACCCUUAUUUCCAAGCUGUACUGUCAGUUCUUGGCGACCAAGCCCUCACUACCCUGGCCAUCUGAGAUUAAUUUUACCUUCUAUUGAGUCCAGUUGGCCCAGCCUUUCACUAUUCAAAUACUUUUUUCCCCCUCUCCUGAUAGAGAACUGGAUGAAGGGAUGAGUGAAUUUUGCAGUUUCCAUGGGCAUGGAGCUAUAUAAAGGAAGGCAAAUAUCACUGGCAAUAU